UUUCAAUAUGGUUUAAUAUCUCUUUUUAAGGAGCUCUGCAAAGAAACAGGUCAACGUUGGCCUGUCUAAUUAAUAUGUGAGGAGCCUCUCUUUUGAUUGGCCGACUGUUUUGAGUGACGCACGGCCAGGCCAACCAGCUCCUCUGUUCACCGCUCAGAGCGGCUCUGACCGUGUUGUCCCGGAGCGAGGAGCAGCACCAGUUACCGAUGAAUUCUGCAAAGGACAGAAAUAAAAAACAGCGGAUGCUGAAGCACGGGGCGCUGAGUGCAGAUCUGCCCGCGAGGCGAAGCAUCAUCAGGCUGUCAACAACACACUGUGACACCUGAACACACACACACACACACACACACACACACACACACACUCCUGUCUGAAUCAUAAUGGAGCCACUGUCACUGGAGGGCCGAGUAGCUCCAGUUACGCCCACGUCGUUCAGGAAACAGUUCUGUCCAUGACACACGCCUCACGUACAGUAAUCCUACGACAACAAAGAGGAGAGACGUGUAAACACCAGAGGAAGAGGAAGGAGGUCGUGACUCAGAGACACUGUGUUGCUUUUCUGGGAAGCACAAAGACGUGGACGUCCCCCUCCUCCCUCCUCCUCCUCCCUCCUCCCUCCUCCCUCCCACCUCCUCC